AUUCCAAGAUGCGGGUAGUCUGAUAUGUAUCCUUGAAAAUGCUCCCAUGCUUUUGGAAUAGGUUCACCUUUCUGCUGAUGAAAUUCCAAAAUCUUCCCUCUUAAGAU
rnacentral:snoRNA from 1 species